rnacentral:rRNA from 1 species
GACGAACCGAGCGAACGUUGUUCGGAAUCACUGGGCUUAAAGGGCGCGUAGGCGGGCCUGCAAGUCAAGGGUGAAAGCCCCCGGCUCAACCGGGGAAGUGCCCCUGAUACUUCAGGCCUCGAGGGAGGUAGGGGCGUGCGGAACUUCCGGUGGAGCGGUGAAAUGCGUAGAUAUCGGAAGGAACACCGGUGGCGAAAGCGGCGCGCUGGACCUCUUCUGACGCUGAGGCGCGAAAGCCAGGGGAGCGAACGGG